rnacentral:rRNA from 1 species
CCUACGGGAGGCAGCAGUGGGGGAUAUUGCACAAUGGGGGGAACCCUGAUGCCGCGACGCCGCGUGGGUGAAGGAGUGCUUCGGCAUGUAAAGCCCUAUCGGCAGGGAAGAAGCAAGACGGUACCUUACUAAGAAGCCCCGGCUAACUACGUGCCAGCAUCCGCGGUACUACGUAGGGGGCGAGCGUUAUCCGGAUUGACUGGGUGUAAAGGGAGCGUAGACGGCCAUGCAAGCCAGGGGUGAAAGCCCGGGGCCCAACCCCGGGACUGCAUUUGAAACCGCAUGGCUGGAGUGCGGGAGGGGCAGGCGGAAUGCGUGGUGUAGCGGUGAAAUGCGUAGAUAGCAGGAGGAACACCGGCGGCGAAGGCGGCCUGCUGGACCGCGACUGACGUUGAGGCUCGAAAGCGUGGGGAGCGAACAGGAUUAGAUACCCUUGUAGUC